rnacentral:rRNA from 1 species
AACGAACGCUGGCGGCAGGCUUAACACAUGCAAGUCGAGCGCCCCGCAAGGGGAGCGGCAGACGGGUGAGUAACGCGUGGGAAUCUACCCAUCUCUACGGAAUAACGCAUGGAAACGUGUGCUAAUACCGAAUAAGCACUUCGGGAGAAAGAUUUAUCGGAGAUGGAUGAGCCCGCGGUGGAUUAGCUAGUUGGUGGGGUAAAGGCCUACCAAGGCGACGAUCCAUAGCUGGUCUGAGAGGAUGAUCAGCCACACUGGGACUGAGACACGGCCCAGACGCCUACGGGAGGCAGCAGUGGGGAAUAUUGGACAAUGGGCGCAAGCCUGAUCCAGCCAUGCCGCGUGAGUGAUGAAGGCCCUAGGGUUGUAAAGCUCUUUCACCGGUGAAGAUAAUGACGGUAACCGGAGAAGAAGCCCCGGCUAACUUCGUGCCAGCCGCCGCCGUAACAC